ACCUAGAUGACGAGUCCCAAAUAAGACGAAACGCUCGUCCUGCAU
rnacentral:hammerhead_ribozyme from 1 species